UCCGGCGAAAGUCGGUUUCCGCAAGGACACUCGUCGAGGUGCUGCACGCGCUCACGUCAGCUCGUGUCGUGAGAUGUAGGGUUAAAAAAACGCAACGAGCGCAACCCUUGUCCUCUGUUGCCAUCACGUUAUGGUGGGCACUCUGAGGAGACUGCCGGUGACAAACCGGAGGAAGGUGGGGAUGACGUCGAGUCAGCAUGGCCUUUAUGUCUGGGGCUACACACGUGCUACAAUGGCCGGUACAAACCGUCGCGAUCUCGCAAGAGGGAGCUAAUCGGAGAAAGCCGGUCUCAGUUCGGAUUGUCUCUUCAUCAUUUGACUGCAUGAAGUUGGAAUCGCUAGUAAUCGCG
rnacentral:rRNA from 1 species